UCUCUACUAAAAAUACAAAAAUUAGCCAGGCAUGGUGGGGCAUACCUGUCUUCCCAGCUACUCAGGAGGCUGAGGCAGGAGAAUCACUUGAACCUGGGAGGCAGAGGCUGCAGUGAGCCAAGAUCGUGCCAUUGCACUCCAGCCUGGGCAACAGAGUGAGACCCUGUUUCAAAAAAAACCCACCAAAAAACAUCACCUGGCUUGUUAAAACACAGAUUCCUGGACCCCACCCAGAAUUUGAUUCAGUUCGGGAGUGGGGCCUGUUAAGAUGCAUUUCUAGCAAGUUCCCAGGUGAUACUCAUGCUUCUGGUCCCAAACCACACUGUGAAGUGCCAGCUCCAGAUUAGAAGACCCCAAAGAGAUACUGGAGCCAACCACAAUGUACAAACCUGAUUGGGUCCUGACUUGGAAAUUAAACAUCUUUAAAAU